GGCUCGGGCUCAGCCGCCGCGCCGCCGGCUGCUCCUCCUUCCUCCCUGCGCGCCCGGGGCGAUGUUCAACCGCGCCGUGAGCCGGCUGAGCAGGAAGCGGCCGCCGUCAGACAUUCACGACAGUGAUGGUAGUUCAAGCAGCAGCCACCAGAGCCUCAGGAGCACAGCCAAGUGGGCGGCCUCCCUGGAGAAUCUGCUGGAAGACCCAGAAGGCGUGAAGAGAUUUAGGAUGCAUUAUUCCCAGUGAGAAAGGCCAAGUGGAAGUUGGGGAAGGAGCCUCUACAAGGAGGACUGACAGAUAGAGAAGUGUCGAUGCCACCUAGAAUAACUUCCGGCCAGCAGAAC